AUACGGAGGAUGCGAGCGUUAUCCGGAUUUAUUAGGUUUAAAGGGUGUGUAGGCGGUAUUUUAAGUCAGUGGUGAAAUCUCGGAGCUUAACUUCGAAACUGCCAUUGAUACUGGAAUACUUGAGUAUAGUUGAGGUAGGCGGAAUAUGUAAUGUAGCGGUGAAAUGCAUAGAUAUUACAUAGAACACCGAUUGCGAAGGCAGCUUACUAAACUAUUACUGACGCUGAUGCACGAAAGCGUGGGGAGCGAACAGGAUUAGAUACCCUUGUAGUCC
rnacentral:rRNA from 1 species